rnacentral:rRNA from 1 species
UAUCACUACGGGAGGCAGUAGUGGGGAAUAUUGGGCAAUGGGCGCAAGCCUGACCCAGCAACGCCGCGUGAAGGAAGAAGGCUUUCGGGUUGUAAACUUCGUUUGUCAGGGACGAAGCAAGUGACGGUACCUGACGAAUAAGCGACGGCUAACUACGUGCCAGCAGCCGCGGAAAUACGUAGGGGGCAAGCGUUAUCCGGAUUUACUGGGUGUAAAGGGAGCGUAGACGGACUUGCAAGUAUGGUGUGAGAAU